CCUACGGGAGGCAGCAGUGAGGAAUAUUGGUCAAUGGACGCAAGUCUGAACCAGCCAUGCCGCGUGCAGGAAGAAGGUGCUAUGCAUUGUAACCUGCUUUUAUACGGGGGUAAUUACAGCUACUUGUAUCUGGAUGAAAGUCCCGUCUGCUUAAGGAUCGGCUAACCCCGUGCCAGCAGCCGCGGUAAUACGGAGGAUCCGAGCGUUUUCCGGAUUUAUUGGGUUGAAGGGGUGCGACGGCGGGCAGGUAAUUUAGAGGUGAAAGCCCGAUGUUCAACAGCGGAACUGCCUCUGAUACUGUCUGACUAGAGUGUAGUUGCGGAAGGCGGAAUGUGUGGUGUAGCGGUGAAAUGCAUAGAUAUCACACAGAACACCGAGUGCGAAGGCAGCUUUCCAAGCUAGUACUGACGCUGAGGCACGAAAGCGUGGGGAGCGAACAGGAUUAGAUACCCGAGUAGUC
rnacentral:rRNA from 1 species